GAUGAACGCUGGCGGCGUGCCUAAUACAUGCAAGUAGAACGCUGAAGCUUGGUGCUUGCACCGAGCGGAUGAGUUGCGAACGGGUGAGUAACGCGUAGGUAACCUGCCUGGUAGCGGGGGAUAACUAUUGGAAACGAUAGCUAAUACCGCAUAACAGUAGAUAUUGCAUGAUAUCUGCUUGAAAGGUGCAAAUGCAUCACUACCAGAUGGACCUGCGUUGUAUUAGCUAGUUGGUGAGGUAACGGCUCACCAAGGCGACGAUACAUAGCCGACCUGAGAGGGUGCUCGGCCACACUGGGACUGAGACACGGCCCAGACUCCUACGGGAGGCAGCAGUAGGGAAUCUUCGGCAAUGGGGGGAACCCUGACCGAGCAACGCCGCGUGAGUGAAGAAGGUUUUCGGAUCGUAAAGCUCUGUUGUAAGAGAAGAACGAGUGUGAGAGUGGAAAGUUCACACUGUGACGGUAUCUUACCAGAAAGGGACGGCUAACUACGUG
rnacentral:rRNA from 1 species